rnacentral:rRNA from 1 species
AUUGAACGCUGGCGGCAGGCCUAACACAUGCAAGUCGAACGAGUGGCGGACGGGUGAGUAAUGUCUGGGAACCUGCCUGAUGGAGGGGGAUAACUCCUGGAAACGGUAGCUCAUACCGCAUACCAUCCUAUGUGCCCCGAUGGGAUUAGCUUGUUGGUGGGGUAAAGGCCUACCAAGGCGACGAUCCGUAACUGGUCUGAGAGGAUGAUCAGGAACACGGGAACUGAGACACGGUCCAGAGUCAUAAGGGAGGAAGCAGUGGGGAAGAUUGGACAAUGGGCGAAAGCCGGAUCCAGCCAUGCCGCGUGUGUGAAGAAGGUCUUCGGAUUGUAAAGAACUUUAAGUAGGGAGGCGUUACCAACAGAAUAAGCACCGGCUAACUUCGUGCCAGCAGCCGCGGUAAUAC